rnacentral:lncRNA from 1 species
AAAUGUGGGCCGCCCUCCCUCGGAAUCGAAUCGACUCAAUCCCAUUCAUUCCUUCCUUUCUUCGCUGCGACGAUGCGACGUCGACGUUGUUGCGGGGGGGGGACGAUGCGGAUGCGUCGCGUCGCUGCUGCUUCUGCUUCUUCUUCUUCUUCUUCUGCUUCGACGUAGUAGUAGUAGUGUCUCUCUAGCUCUCUCUCUUUCCCCUUAAAUCUCUUUCCCCUUAAAUGAAUUUCUUCGAUGUCCCAAGUAGUGGUAGUAGUGCUGCUGAUUGGGUUUAUUUAUUAGUAUGCUUUGUUUGUUUGCUUGUGUGUGUGUGGGAUGCUGAAUUCCCUUCUUUCUUUCUUCUGCUUCUUGGGUUUUGUUGUAUUUUGUGGCUCUUUUCCAGAAGAAAACGUGGUGUGACAUUUUCAUGGGAGAUCUAUCAAAUGCAAUAAACGCCCCCACUUUUCCCAUCGUCACAUGGUCUGAGAUCUCUCUCUCUCUAUCUCUCUCUCUCUCUUGCAGUUUUUGGUUUUUUUUUCUUCUAUAUAUAAACAAGAAUCAUGUUAAUAAAAUCAUGUUCAAGAUUGUUACAGACAUUGUUGUGAUUUUAUGUUUUUGUUGUUAGAGAAGGUCCAUUAGCACAUAAUUUCUAUUGUUUUUAGAAGGAAGUAGAUAGUUUGUUCCCAUUGAAAACAAUACAAAAAAUGUUUUUGGUAAGAAUUGAUGUAAUUAUUAUUUUGCAUUCAUAUAAAAUUACUUGUUGGAUUGUGUGGAUGAUAGUUAAAGACUUUUGUGCAAAGCAAAACAAAUUAAAUAUACCAUUUUCUCAAUGACAUAAGAUUUUGUUUCUUAGUUUGUUUUUUUUGUGUGUUUUUAAAAUAUUUUUGGUUUUAAGUUGUAUCAAAUAUUCUAAAACAAGAUUAAUAAAUGAUUUUUCUUUAACUAUCAUAUUUAAAAUAUAAUACAUGAUUACAAAGAAAAAAAUUAUAUAGUUAAAUAGUUUAUAAAAUAUAAUUGUAUUAAAAAAUUAUAUAUUUUUUAUUUAUUAAAUAAAGUAGUUGAUAAUUUUGUAAACAAUAAUAGAUACUUGUGUAUUUUUAUCAUGUAGUUAAUUAACAAAAAAGCUCUACUUUAUAUAAAUCUUAAUCAAAUUCAAACUUUAAAGAUUGCAUUACUAAAUAAUAUAAUAUGAUUUGAAUUACACACUCUAUAGUUGCCAUUAUUUGAACUUUUAGAUAUUUCUAUCGUGAUUAAAAACACACACACACACACACACACACACACAUAUAUAUAUAUAUAUAUAUAUAUAUAUAUUAUAAUUUUAUAAAUUUCUUUUAUGAAGAGUUUUUUAAGUAUUAAAAUUUAUAUGUAUCCUUGGCAUCUUUAGAUUAUACUUAGGAACUUUAACAUUAGAAGGUUUUUUUUAUUUUUAUUUUUAUUUUUUUUAAAAAUUAUUUUAACUAUAAUAAUAAAAUAAAAGAUAUACACAAGUUCUUAGCCAAAGUUGUAGUUUUAUGGUUUGAUAUAACCUCAAAUUUAUCAAAGUAUUACAAAUUUACAUAUAAAAUUGUAAAAAAAUACUAAACAAGUUUUGCAAUUCAAAUAUCAAAGGUUUAUUAGGUCAAUCAUGUUUAAAACAUAAAUUUAAUUUAUUUAAAUUAAUAAUAUUAAAAAAUUAAAUUAUUUACUUUAUUUUUUAAAAAUUAAUGAAUUAAUUUAAAAUUUUAGUAUAAAAGAAUUAUUCAAUUAUAAUAAAUUUACUAUUUUUAGUUACAGUCUUACAUAUAUAUAUAUAUAUAUAUAUAUAUUAAAAAUAGAAAAUUAUUUCAAUUUAAAAUUUAAAAUACCUGUUUUUAUACAACUAUUUAGAUGUGUAUCAUCAAACAAAGGACAUGCGACUAAAUUAGAUUAUUAUAAUAAUUAUUAUUAUUUUAAGUUCCAUAUAAGUGCUUUUGAAGCUUUGUCAAUUACAAUCUCCACAUUUGUUGCAAGUAUUAGGUUGUCCUUUACUCUUGGUUACUUUAAAAGAUGCAAUCUAUCCUUAUAAUCAAAAUCCUACUUUGAUUUGGUAGAAGUACUAAGAUACGGAUCAAAGAAAUAAUUAAGUCUAAAUGAUAUUUUUCUAGAUGAAAUUAUCAAAAUUUUAGGAUUUAAGAACUCAAUUUGAGUAUAAUUGGUACAUUGUAGUUUUUUCUUUUAUUUGAUUUAAAAACAUUGAUAUAUAUAUUUUGCUUCCUAAGCUUUGUUAAAAUAUUUUAAAUGAUUGAAAGUAGAUUUAUUGUCUACAAUUACAAUUUAAUCUUGCCAAUUUUUUAAGACUUCAAUUGGAUAGAACCAUAUCUACAAAGAUAAGAUUUUAUUUUCACAUUAAGUCAAGAAAAUUGAAAUAGCUUACAACCUAAGUUUCCAAAUUGAUCAAAAAAAGCAUGAAUAUGGAUUACAAUGAUUUUAGAUCUUGAAAAUAUACAUUAUUUUGUACUUUAUUCAAAUUUUUGAAGAUAAACUAAUAGAUACAAUUUUUGUUUUCUACACUUUCAAAAUAUAUUCCUAUCAAAAUAUCCUUACUAAUAUCAUUCACUUCUACAAUGGCCAUUUAUCUACAUAUUGACAACCUUCUAAAAUUUCUACUAAUUUGAAAAUUUUAUUAAAUUUUUUAAUACUCUCAAUGCAAUUAUUAUACAAGAAUAUACAAUUUUAUUUGUAAAUUUCACUACAUAUACAUAUAUUCUUUAAAACUAUAUUUUGUGUUUCAAUAAUAAAACAUAUUUGUAUGUUUCUUGACUAUGCUCUAAUACUAUAUUAUAAACUAAUUUACAUUAAUAAUUUGAUUAAUAAUAUUGCUCCCAAUACAAGACACUCCAUCCUAUUAGAAUUGAAGUGCAACAACAACAAUAUUAUAGAUACAUUAGCUAUAACAAAUCUUUCUAGCACACAGUAAUUGCAUAAAUAAUCCUCUCCCUUAUGGAAAAAAAAAAAAAGGGGGGGAAGAAGAAAAUCUAGCUCAAAAACGUGUAAUAAAAUUCUAGCCUUAAUCAGUAGAAGCCAAGAAGUAGAGAAUUGAAACAUCGAGCAUCAAUUAAUUGCCACAUGAUCUUCUCAAUCACCAAUCCAAGUAAAAGGUGUUUAUAAAAUGGAAUGAAGAAGCUGGCUACUCGGAGGCACUUCUCUCUGCACUUCGAAGGCUCAAAUUUAGCACUGCUCAACUCGGAAUAGAGAAUCUCUAUCCUUGAGGCAAGUGUUCAGACACCACUACAAAAGAAUAUUUUUUGAAAAAAUAAAAUUAAAUGAAAUAAAACUGCAUCUGUGAUGGUUUCUCUUUGAUCCCAGUUCCUGUCGAAAAAUAAAAAUAAAAAUAAAAACAAACAAACAAACAGCACGUGAACUGCAUUCGCAUCGGUGCACCUCAACGUGAGUUUCCACGAGCAGAAUCCAUCUUCAUUGAAUCCACUUCACCCGGCAUUCAGUAUAAACGCAGCAACGCUCACACACAGCAGCGUGCUUUCUAACACAUGCUGGAAUGAAUUGAGUGUCAAAGUUAUGCCUUUCCAUAACCAUCACGAGAAGCACCCGGUCCAUAUAUACAUACACAGUGCUUUCAAAUCACGCAACACUUGCAGAAACCAACACAAGCUAAGCCACACUCACCCCACCGACUCCAGUGCAGAGGCCUACCACAUCUCUUCAUGGCACACAUGCCCUCUAAUCACAGACUAUCGGCAUCACAGAGGACGGGGGGGAGGGGGGACCUCGUGAUGAUCGUGUGACGAUCUCCUGCACAAAACCAGAACUGUGACUCAGUAUUGAAUGCUCUUCAUGUAAUUUGGGUUGGUGAUAGGCUGAUUGUUGGAGUCGUGGGUGCGGAAGUUGGCAGGGUAGGAUUGGCUGGGUCUGUAAUCGCUGUAAUAGUUGUCCUUGGGCUGAUAUCCACUCUCAGGUUCGUAGUAGCUCCCUCCUCCAUAUGAGCUCCGAGGGUCCAAUCCUCCGUAUGAACUCCGAGGAUCCAUUCCCCCGUAUGAGCCCUGGGGAUCAUAUGAACCUCGAGGGUCCGUGUAAAUUCCUCUGGGAUUCAUCAAAGAUUGAAAUCCUCCGUAAUCGUAGCUGCGGGGAUGGAAUACUACGGGGUAUUCUGGUUCCUUGUUGUUUUGAUUGUUGUUGCCGCUGCCUCCUCCUCCUCCUCCUCCUCCUCCACCUUUACCCUUUCCUUCACCAGCAGCGGCAGCACCCCCAGCAGUGCCCCCUCCACCUCCACCUGUACCCCCACCUUCAUUCUUAUUCUGAUUGUUGUUGCCUCCUCCGCCGCCACUGCCUACAUUAGCCUUAGCCUUCCCUUCACCACCGCCCUUAUCUCCACCUUCUUUAUUCUUGUUCUGAUCGUUGUUAUUGCCACCAGCUCCACCUCCUUUACCUUUAGCCUUCCCUUCACCACCUUCACCUCCUUUGCCAUUGCUCUGUUGAUUGUUGCCACCCCCGUCUUCACCCUUUUUCUUGCCACCUUCUCCCUUGUUGCCACCUUUCUCUCCAUCACCCCCUUUCUCUGCCUUUCCUUGCUUCUGUCCCUUCUCUGAUCCUUUAUCACCACCCUUCUCUGCUUUCCCACCUUUGCCACCGCCACUACCACCAGGCUCUUUCUUUGUUUCUACAGUCCAGUUGGACGCCUUCUUGUCAACAUUCUUCUUAAAUUUCUUCAACAAAGCUGCGGGAUCGACAUACCCAACCACAGUGACUUUGCUGUUGCCACGGUCGAUGCUCACGGAUUGCACACCUGCACCAUGUAAAACUAUUUCCCUAGUGAGCGCAAGUAGAACCUUCAAACAGAGAUCACGAUGUCUUCUAAUAAAAUAGACUAACCCACUGAGUCUGAGACAAGACUCGCGACUGUUAGCUCCAUGUAAACACUAACAAAAUAGACUUCGAUCAGUUUCACAACAAAGUGCACUUCAAGGUUAUGGUGCGUGUUGCUUGUACCAACAGUAGGAAGAGAGAUAUUCGAGGUAAAGAAAGAAAGAAAACUUGCCAGAGGCGUAUUGAGCUUCUUCCAUAACUUUCUCCUCACACUUCGGGCAGCACAUCUUCACUCUGAACUCAUGUUUCUACAGCCAAGCAAAGCACCAACGAUUCCGCCAAAAUAUGGCAAGAACGGAGUGACGGUGAAUUCACAAUGUUUCGAAGAAAAUAAAGCCGCCGAAAUGCUUCACAAACCAUCCACAAAACAAAUCAUCCUCUCUGUGUCAUUAGACCAAAUCUAAAGGUAGACGCGAGUUGUAUUACUUACAGGCACUGCAGGUGCCUUGGGUUUAUUGUCUUUCAGCUCGACUUUGUUGCUGUCAUUUUUCUCACCACCACCUCCUCCUUUCGCACCUCCUUCACCACCACCUCCACCUCCGCCACCUCCUUUCCCUUUCUUUACCUUCCCAUCAUCAUUCUCGGCGAUCCAUUCAGGAUCAUUUUUCUUGUUCAUAACCUGAUCGAAUCGUUCUAAAAGUCAAUUAAAACUGGAACCAAAGCAUAUAUAUAUAUAUAUAUAUAUAUAUGCAUUCACACAGAGCACUCACUAUGCUAUCGUCUCGAGCUAAAAUAUAAACUCAUCUUACCGUCCAAAAUGAAAAGAAAAAAAAAACAAAGCGGGAAGUUCUCUUUCAAAACGAAGCACAUUCAGACAAAAGAAAUUUUGAUCCCUCAUUGUGUCCAAGACCACACUAAGAUUCGAAGCUUCAACUUACUGCAAAAGGUCCCUUGUCCAUGGAGAGACUGAGACAGCGGCGCAUUACACACAAAACCGAAAACAGAAUCAAAUCCGCAACAUCAACAAAUGUCCAAAUAUGUCAUGGUUGACAACAUACCUCGUUCAUGGAGGCCAUCUCAAAACAAACAAGUCCACGCCCGCAAGGAUCUGAACCCCCGUUUGCUUCCCACCGCGACCCAAACCUACAACAACUUCACCGCCUCACCAGGAACAACAUCCCUUAGCGAUUGAUGACUCCCCUUCGCGAACCCACCGGGCUUAUAAGCUUAUUUAUUAUCAACGAAACAGCCACAACUGGAAGUCGCAAGGAAUCCGAAUACGAUNNNNNNNNNNNNNNNNNNNNNNNNNNNNNNNNNNNNNNNNNNNNNNNNNNNNNNNNNNNNNNNNNNNNNNNNNNNNNNNNNNNNNNNNNNNNNNNNNNNNGUUAAAAAAAAAAAAGAAAGAAAAAAAGACGCACACAAACACACACACGGUUACAAGGAUACCAACACAAGCAGUUGAGAAAAGGUUUUUUUUUUUUUUUUUUUUUUUUUUUUUUUUUAUAUUAUUUUUAUUGAUUUUUUUCAUUUGCAUUUGCAGCAAGGAGCCUCUUCGCAAUGUAAGAAUCCGUGGCCACUUUCGAGGAAGAGGCGAAGAGAGGGAGCCUGAUCUCUGCUUCUUCUUCUUCUUCUGCUUCACUGCGGAGAGUCAAACGUGACGCCCUGUUGGACGGGCCACAGUCUUCUCAUCCGCGUGUUCCUUCUUCAUCUAGACUUUCGCAGCAAGGUUCGGUACACACACACACACACUGACACACACCCAACUCAUCACACCACAGUUGCUCUAUUCUUCCACUGACUACUACACCACUACUACGACUACGACUACUACACCCCUUCAAAAUGUUAUCACUGACUAAAUGAAAUGAAACGAAACCUCGUUGACGAAGGUUCCUUCCUUCCUGACAGACAGACACACAGAAUUGGCGAUGACACACUUUCAGGAAGAAAGGAACGGAAGCAACAAACGAACGAACGAACUUACUAACGAAUAAUUAUUUAUUUAUUAAUUUAUUUAUUUUGUUCUAGUAUUUUGUUUUGUUUUGUUUGUUUUUUUUUUUUUUUUUUGGUUGGCAUGGCUGGCUAACUGAGGUGGGGAUGAUGAUGAGAUUGAGAGUGAGGGUAGUGGUCCUGAUUAUGGUAACCCACCUCCCUACAAAGCUCAAUGGUGGUGGUGGUGAUGGUUGUGAGUGAAUCAGUCAACUAGAAAACAAAUACGCCUCUCGCUGCAAAUUGGCACCUACUCUGAUUGCGAUUGCAGCGUGGCCAGUACGUUAAUACGGUUAUUUCGGUCCUUCCAGAUUUGGCUGCUAAUUCAGUUUUAGUUUUUAGUUUUUUAGUUUUUUUAGUGUUUUUUUUUUUUUUUUUUUUUUUUUUUUCCACUGGUGCACCAUCGCUUGGAUCAGUACUCUGUCUGUCUUCUCUCUCUUUCUUUUUAUAUGAGUGCGUAAGAGAAAAGGAAAUCGUGAUGUUGAAUGCAACGUUGUCAGUCUCUCCUGGAUGGGUGUGUGUGUAUGUUUUAUGUUUUUUAUACAGAAAUAAGGCCUUCGAUGGAUCCUUCGUCUUGUCGGAUGAAUCUGUGUUGUUGCCAUUCUUGCAAAACAUUCGAUAGGAUUGAUGCUACCCGAUCCGUUUCCUUUGACUUGCUUCACAGCGUUUGGUAUCCUUCUUCUUCUUCUGCUUCACCAUUGAUUGAUUGAUUUUAUAGCGGCCUUAUUUGCUUCUCGCCAGUCACAUUUCAAAUCAUUCAGUAAGGAUGAAUCUUACUAUCAUAAUUUCACCGGAUAAAACUUAUUAUUACAAUUAAUUAAUUAAGACCUUUUAUUUAUAUAUAUAUAUAUAUAUAUAUAUAUAUUCUAAUAGACGAUCGAAAAAGGCCACCGAGGCUUGCUGCGCUGCAAAAUUAUUGUUGCGAAAAUUCAUUACCUACGAGAGACUUACUUCAGACUACUGUAUACACACACACACAAUACUCACAUCCUAUUCAACGUUUCCUGUGAAGGCAAUUCCGAUUAUCUUAUCUUAAAUGAAGAAAGAUUAUCAAGAACAGCAAAAUGUGAUGUGGUACCCAUCUGGAUGAGAAACAAAGUGUAUGAAUCCGCAUGAUAGGUUGGAUCAAUUCUUUGCAUUUAUUUAUUUAUUUGUUGUUUUUAUUGGCUUUAAUUUUAUCCAUCUUACAACCAUUAGGUCUUGAUUGACUGACCCAAGUUGAAGAUUCAUAUUGAUUCUUAACAUGUUGGAGAGAAUGUUGGAGGAGAGCAAACAUGGAAGAAUCCAUUUUUUAUGUUUUUUUUUUGCAUUUCCUUUGCUUACUUAAAUAGCCUCUUUUUGCUGAGAAUGUUUGGAGACACAAGAGUAGCUCAAAAUAAUGUGCACACACACAUAAGAGAGUGUGUAGAAUGAGAGAGAGCUUUUUAUCAAUGAAUUAAUGUAGUUGUCUCUUGUAUACAAAGAAAAUGGAAGAAAAUAAAUAGUUUCUCCUUACUACAUUCCAAAAAUUGUAGCUACAAUAUUUAUUGUAAACUUUAGUAAAUAUUAUGGAGAGCAACAACUAUAUUUAAUGCUCUCAACACUCCUCUUUGUUGUCAAAUUUAGUAUAUUCUUACUUGAGAAUGUAUCAGGUACCUAGUUGUGGAAGAUAAGUAAUAAUGCAAGAAAAAUUUUACCAAGUCUAAUAGAGCAUUAAAUAAGCUUCAAGUAAUUCUUAAUAAUCCAAUCAAACUUUAACUUAUUAAAAUAAAUUUAAAAGAAGUCACAAAAUAAAUAUAAAGAAUCCUAAAGAAAUAUUAAAAGUAAAAAUCUUUAUAUAAUCCUAAUUGAAACCCUAAUUAAAUUUUAAUCAAAUCCUAGGUCAAACCUAAUAAAAUCCUAAUGAAAUCUCAAAUCUUGGACAAAUCCUAGACAAGUUCUAAAUCAAAUCCUGAUCAAAUCUUAAUUCCAACCAAAUUCUAGACCAAAUCUUAAAUCAAAUCCUGAACCAAACUCUUAUCAAAUCUUAGAUCUUAAACAAACUCUUAACAAAUCUUAUAGCAAAAUGGAACCUCAACAAUUGAUGAUCAAAUUAUUGAUAUCAACUCAAAAUUUGUACACUUCUUAAUGUCUUGGUUAGAAACAAGCAUAAAAAAGAUGAAAUCAAUUGCACAUAUCAAUUGAAAGAAAUGCAAGAUAAUCCAAUCAAAUAUUGAGCAGUCUCCUACUCCAACUUAAAUACCAAACUUCUUAUGCCAAUAUCUUCUUCUUGAAUAAUUAAAUUUCUUUCAAAUCUCACUUAAACAUUAGAAAUCAAGUCUAGUAUCUAUAUGAAAAAAUUUCACUUCAAUCCAAUUGAUAGAUUGCUCACAAUCUAAAAAAUAUUCAGUGACCUUCAAACUCCAAUUUUUGAGACUUCAACCUAUAAAGUCCUUUAUAUACUUCAAUCUAAUCAUUUGAUUGACCUCAAAAUUUGCAUACAAAUUUAUAACUAGCAGAUCAACACAUUGCCUAAAUUUUAUUUGUACACAGACCAUAAAACUCAAGAAACCCUCAAAUUUGUAAAUAUAUUAUUAUUUUUUAAACUCUAAUUCCACCAAGAAUAUUACUAACUUUAAAAAUCUUUGAAAAUUUCAAUAUUAAUUCAAUUGACACAAAAUCAAUGCCUAAAAAUAUUUUCUCAAGUUUUCUUUCAAAUUCUAUUCUUUAAUCUACUAAAGAAUCUUAGAUUUAUUAUAGGUUUUGUGCCUCAAGGUUUGAUUUCAAUGAAGGCUGAGAACUUGUCCUCUUUGGAUAUUAAUUCUUGGAUUCUUGAAGUAAAUUUUGCUAAAAUCUAUUCUUAAUUCUCUCUUAUACAUACCUAUAUUAUUUAAUUUUUUAAUCUACUUUGUUUUGCCUUAUUUAUGGCCAUACAAAGUAAAUAGAAGUCUAUUUUAUAAAAGAAUAGCAUUAGCACUUUUUAAUUUUACUAUCUUUUUGACUAUUAUCUAUAUUUUUAAGAUAAUUUUUUAUAAUAUUUUAAAAUAAAAUAUUCUAUAAUAUAAUAUUUUUUUUCUUUCUUUCAUUCAUUAACCAUAUUACAUCAUGAGAUUGCUCGUCAUAAUAUUUGUAUAACAUAAAAUAUGCAUAGAAUUAUGAUCUAUACUUUUCUAUAAACUUGCAAGAUAAACAACAUCUGCCUCAUUAAAACCUUAUGUAAGAAAACCAUAUUGUAUUCAAGGACAAAACCAUAGAUGAAAGAAAUAGAGUACAACAUCAUUUUUCUUAAUUAUUUAAAAAACACAUCAAUUUUUUUGCUCAAAAAAACCAAGUCACCGCAUGCCAAUGCCAUUAGUAAGUUAGAAAUGGUUAUACAAAGGGAGAACUUUGGUGAAGAGAUCAAUAAGGUUAUUUGCAUAUUCAAUUUUUUUGAACUUAAAUAUUUGAUUAGUAACCAAAUCAUGCAUAUAAUUAAAAUACUUUGGAUCAAUAUUCUUUGUCAUGUUACCUUUAAUGAAACCAACUUACAUUUGUGCAAUACAAGAGCAAUUUUUUUGAUACAAGAUAGUUGGAAAAACACCAUAUAAAAUUCCAUAGGUUGUUUGAAUGAUUUUAUCAAUUAAUUGCAAUAAAAUAUAUUUCUAAGAUGCUUUACAUAAAGUAAUAAUUUUUGCAUAGUUGGAUGAAGUUACAAUUAUAAUUUGUUUCACUGAUUUCCAUGAUAUUGCAGCUCUAUGUAUUGAAAAUACAUAACUUAGUUGAGAUUUAGCUAUUGCAAUAUCAAAUUUAUAUCUUGUAUUAUAAUAUCCAAUCAAUUUUGGAUCUGCAAAUUGUAUGUAGUAUGAUCUCAAGUCUUUAGUGCCUUUUAAAUAACAUAAUAAAUAUUUAAUGUCAUUUCAAUGUUAUAGUACUUGACAUAUAUUGUAUCUUGCAAGAAUACUAAUUAUAAAUAUAAUAUCUAAUCUUGUAGAUGUGGCUAAAUAUAAAAGUGCUCUAACCACUACAAAGUAUAGAUACUGAUCUUGUAAUAUUUCCUCUUCCUCUUUGUAUGGACAAUAUGGAUCAUCACUAUUGUGACUAUAUCCAACCAUUGGUUUUAAUAAUAGAUAAGCAUCAAUCAUAUUGAAUCUCUACAAGGUUCAUCUAAUAUACGUUAAUUGAUAGAAAAAAAUGCCACCAUGUGUGACAUGCAUAAUUUGAAGACUAAUACAGAAAGUUAUUUUUUCUAGCAUUUUCAUCUCAAACUCAUGGAUAAGUAGGUUAGUAGUUGCAAUGCAUUCAGAUCUAAUAUCUACUAGGUUAAGAAUAUCAACAUAUACAACAAUGAUCACAAAACUAAUUUUAUUUCAUAUGAUAAACAAACAAGGAAUUAAUGGAUCACUUACAAACUUAUUUGUAAUUAAAUAAUCUCAAAGAUAUUGAUACUAUAUACAUCUAAAUUAUUUUAGACCAUACAAGGCCUUGUGUAAUUUAAUACCCUAAUAUUGUUUUAGAAGAGAUCCAUUUGGAAUUCAUGUUUUCAAAUAAGAUAGAAUUUUUAUGUAAAUAUUUGCAUCAACAAAACCAUAUAGAUACAUAAUUAUCACAUCCAUGAGACACAUCUUAAGGAUAGCAUGAAUUACUAUUCUGAUAAUAUAUCGAAAUGUAAUUGAAUCCAUGAUUUGAAAAUAUGUGGAUUCAUAAUCAAUACCAAACCAUUGAAUAAAUCCUUAGGCAAAAAAACAAGCUUUAUCGUAGAUUAUUUAUUCCUUAGCAUUUUCUUGUAUAUCAAUACCAUCUUAUAUUCCAUAGAGUAAGAUGUAAAAAUAUCUAUAAUUCAACCAAUGACUUUCUUCUUACACAAAGAGGCAUAUUCUUCCUUGAUAGCAAUUUUUUUAUUUUAAUCAAUUAGAGCAAUGCAUUGUUUCCUUGAUGGUUUGAGAUUUAGAAUCCUCUUUCUUGUAAAAAAGAGCUUCUACAAUCAUGCAUGCAAAUAAUUCAUCUAUUGUAAUAGAUGGUCUAUCCUAAAUAUUAUUUGUAGUAUAAUAUAAAACAAAUAAUUCUAUACUUAAUUUAGUUUUAUUUCUUCUAAUUUCAAGAUUUUCUAUUGCAUGAAGUAAAGAUAUAAUUUAUAUGGACAUCAUUAAUUAAUGGUCCCAUAGGUUUAAUAGGAACUUUUACAAAAUAAUACUGGAAUCAAUAAAUGUUAUGGCCUUCUUCUUUUGUGGUUUAUUUGGUCUAUGAAUCCUUUUAGUUUUUGAUGUUAUAACUGAAAGUAUAUUAAUUAAUGAUAUUGCAAUCUAAGUAGGUGCAUUUUUAGCCUCAUUAAUGGAAACUCUUAUAAUUUGAGAUACAUCAUUGAAGCCAUCAAAUAUUUUAUUUGUGAUCCAGCUUAGAUACAAAAUCUUGGCAACUUUAAUUUUAGCCAAAGAUGUUCUAAGAUUAGGAUUUAUUAUAAACAUUUUUAGUCUUCAAAAUAUAAAUAUUCUAUUUUUUAUUGAUUAUAUAAUUUUUUUUAAGAAUUAAAAAUUUAUUUUCUUCAAAAUAGAAAUUUUAAAAACAUGCACAUAAUAAUGUAUCUGUUUAUGGAUCAACAAUAUGAAUUAUACUUGGUGAAUCAAAACCAACAUAUAUGCCCUCUUGUCGAUGAGCUCUAACGGUAUGCCAUUGAGGUUUUGAUAUUGGAAUCUAAGUAUAGCAAUCAAAUAUCCAUAAGUGAGAUAUAUUAAGAAUAUGACUUAAAAUGAGUUCUUGUGGUAUAAUAAUUUUAAAAAAAGAAAGACAAAUGCAUAUUAAUGCUAUAGCAUGUAAAAUUACAUGAUUUCACAUAAAUAUAGAAAAAUUUUCUUGAAGAAGGAGUGGUUGAGUAAUGAGUUGUAUAGACUUUAUAAAUGACUUUGCAAGUCUAUUUUGAAUAUAUUCAUAUAAAAUAUAAUAUGUCAACUCAAUUCUUGUUAUAAUACAAUAGUUUUAAAAAGACUUUGAUGCAAAUUCUUUUUUAUUAUUUAUAUGCAAUAUUUUGAUAGGAUAAUUAGGAAAAAUUACUCAAAAACAAAUAAGCAUAAUUAUAAGAUUAGCAAACAACAUAUUUAGAUUCAUAAUAAUGAAACAUGUGAUUGUAUGCCUAAUGCAUCAAUAAAGAUGAAAAAACAACGAAAUAGUUUAAAUAUUGGAUUGAUAGGACCAAAAAUAUUACCAUACAAGCUUUCAAGCAUUAGUGGUAACUCUUAAAGGAGUAUCCAAAUCGCACAAUUGUCUUACCUUGCUUACAUAUAUCACAUAAUUCCAUAGCAUUUGUAUCUGCAAGUCUUAAACUAUAUCCAGUUAUACUUAAAAUUAUCUUCUUAAAUAACAUAGAUCUUGGAUGUUUCAAUCAUCUAUGCCAAAGACAAAUGCAAGUCUUUCUAAUAGAUGAUGCAAAAUUAAAUAUAAUGGAGGUCAAAUUGCAAUCCAAUAUAAACCAUUUGUUACAGUAAAGUCUUUUUUUAACAACUUUAUAGUUGUAUGUAAGAACUAAAACUUCCUGCCUAUUUAGAAUGGCAAUUUAGAUGUGAUAACUAUUGACAUGCACAUCUUGGUAGGUAAUUAGACUUUGAGGUAUUGAUAGGUGCAAACAUUGUAUGUUUACAUUUAAUGAUGGAGUUUGCAUGCAACUUUUCUAUCAUUGUUUUCUCUUGGAAACGAAAUGCAUUUGUUCUAGCCAUAGUGAUCAAAUUUUUAGUUUACUAAGUUAAAGAUUUUUCAAUAAAAAAUUAUCUAUCCCACAUGAUAGUAUGUGUUGUUGCAAAAUUAAUGAGUACAUCAUUUGAUUCAUCAUUAGAAGUUUUAUUAUUUAUAUAAGCUUCUAAAUUAUCAACACUAAUUAAAUCCAUGGUAUGAACCUCACAAGCCUCAGCUCAAAGUUUCUUAUUUUUUUGGAAUAUUUUAAUAAAAUAUUUUGAAGUACGGCAUGCAUGUACUAAAUAUCCAAUCAUCCUACAUUUAUGGCAAGAAUGCAUCUCUAAUUAUUUUUUUCAUUGUGAUUAGUAGUAUAAUACUUAUUCUUUUUAUACAGGCAAAAAUAAUCAUAACCAUAACUGCCUUGGUACUUAUGAACAUCUUUGCUAUAUUUAUAUAAUUUUUUCUUAGACUUUAAAAUAUUAAGUAUAUAAAAUUUUCGAACCAUGGUUCCAAUAGAACAAGCUUCUAUAUUACACAAGAGUAGCUCAUUUUGUUUCUCCACAAGAAGUAGAUAGGACAUGACAUCAAGAUGACUCUAAAAUUCUAUGCUCUUAUAUUGAUGUGUAAAUAUAGCAAAUGUAAUAGGAAAUAUAGAGAGAAUUUUUUCAAUCAUUUCUUCUUCACAGAUGCUUCAUCAACACAAUUGUAAUUGUGAGACAAUACAAUAUAUUUUACACUUAAAAGUAUUUAAAUUUAGAAAAUCCAAGACAUGUAAAUAUAUCCAAUCAUGAUGUGCAUACAAAAGAAAAAUGAUCUUUUAAUGAUUAAACCUAGAAUAAGAUUCUUCUAAAGCUUGGUUGAAUCUUCCAUUUUCGCAUAUUGAUGUUGUAAUAUAAGUAUAAGGUGAUGAAAAAAAAAAUACUUUCCAAUAUAUAGUAAGAAAAAUAAAAGUACUUAUUAUAGGAAAUUCUUCAAAUAAAAUUACUUCUAAGAUUUUUUUUGUAAAUAAAUUUGAUUUUGUUAUUUUUUUUAUAAUAAAUAAUUAUUUCCAUCAAUAAUUAAUCAUAGUAUCAUGAAUUUAGAAUACUGACUGGAAAUCUAAAUAAGAAGCUCAAGAAGAAUCUGCAAGAACUAGAUUAAUCAGAUGAGUACAAGAACAAUACUAAAAAGAUGAGUUAGAGCUCCAAAAGAUGUGUUGUUGAGAGUGAGGAUCCUCUCAGUCUCGGCUCCUAUAUAUAUUACAAGCUAGGAAGCUUCUCAAGUAGCUUCCACAAACUAGGAAGCUUUUCAAGCAGCUUCUACGAGUUAAGAAGCUUCUCAAGCAGCUUCCAUAAGCUAAGAAGCUUGAAAAUUUGUUGCAUAGUGUCUGUAAUAUACUCAAAUUAUUUUUUGCGCAAUACGUAGUUCAUUGGUCCUUGUAACCAACGAUAGUAUCUUAUGCCUUCAAUUUCCGACCAAGAAUAAACUUCCGUGUCUUCAUUAAGAAAAUGCCCUGCAAACACUCCUUCGAGAAGAUCACCGUAGGCAAGUUUUACCUCAAACACAAUCACUAGCAACAUGUUACUAGGUAUCUUCCGUUGUCUUCAUGGUAUAGGCAGUUCUUCAUCUCGGAGUCGUCUUCUUGAGAUACUUGGUUGAGAAGACAUGAUUGGUAUGGUAUCUAUCUCUUGGCUAUCCAUAUCAGACCGAAAAAUAUAAGCAUUAAACAUAGAAGAAUGGGCUCAGGUUACAGAUUUUUAGUCUCUAACUAUGUCUUUUAGAGGUUCCUUCUCUCCCUUCUUUGUAAAGUCGAGGAUUAAGAGACUUCAAGGAGAAAGAACUUUACUAAAAAAACUUUCAUCGAAAGGGCUUAGGUUUCUAAGGAUAGCAUCGAUGAAACACAUGUACCUUUUGCGAUGCAUUGAUAAGAUUUUUCGAUGAUUCCCAUGUGCGCUCAUUGAUAUCAUAGCUGCUCCAAUGCACUAGGUACUCCAAUUUCUUCCACUCAUGGUAUGAAUCUAGUACCUUUUCUACCUCAUAAUCCUCGUGGUUCUCAAUUUCAAUACUAGGUGGUGGACAUUGUACUCUUUCAGGAAAAGAUGACUCUCGAUAAGGCUCCAACAAAAAAACAUGAAAGACUAGGUGUACCUUCAUAGCAGCCGGUAACCCUAGUCGAUACGCCUCUAGAUUGAUUUGCUUUUAGAUGAUAAAUGGUCCCGAUCUCCAGUAGUCCAACUUAUCACAUGGUCGCUUGGUUUUGAUAUUCCGUUGAAGCAGCUAUACUUAAUCUCCAAUUUUGAAAGUAGAUACCUAAUUUCAAAAUUUAUUUGCGGACGCUUUGUAAAUUUCUUGGGCAGUUUGUAAUUGAAGCUUCAAUGUAGUUUGAAGCUCCGAUAGUUAUUUCAUAAAUCCUUCAGCUAUCGGGUUAUUAUUAGUUAACAGACUUAAUAAAUCAAGCUUCGGAUGAUACCCAUAGUUGAAAAAGAAUGGUAUUUUUUAAGUCGAUGCAUGAAGAGUGUUGUUAUAUACAAACUUAGCUAACGAUAGAUAUGUAGUUCAAUCAUCUUGCUAAUAAUUGAUGUUGCAUCGUAAAUACUGCUCCAAAUUUUGAUUCAUCUGUUUUGUUUGGCCGUGAGUUUGAGGAUAGAAAGGCGAAGAAAGCUUGAUAUCCACCUUCAAUAUCUCAAAGAAAGAUGUCUAAAACUUUGAUACGAAUUGGGUUCCUCGAUCUGACACAAUAUCAUCUGAUAAACCAUGAUAUCGAUACACACUAUCAAGGAAGAGCCUUGUUGUGUCUUUGCUUGACGAUGUUUUCUUACAAGGGACAAAGUAUGCCAUCUUUGUAAGCCAAUCUACCACAACAAAGAUGUUGUCAAAUGAAUUUGAUGGCGGUUGGUCCAUAAUGAAGUCCAUGGAAAGUGAAGACCAUGGCCGACGUAGAAUAAGCAAUGGUUGAAGAAGAUCAUAAGGAUGAUGUCGAGGGUUCUUAGAUCUUCAACAAAUGUCACAAGAGAGGACAAAAUCCUUGACAUCCUUCCACAUUUGGGGCCUCCAAAAAUCUCGAGAAAUAAGUUUUAAGGUCUUAUUGAAUCCAAAAUGUAUCGCAGUUGAAAAGUCAUGUCGAGAUUGGAAAAUUUGGAGUCAUGCUAGUCCCUUUGGAAUAUACAACUGUUCCUCAAAGUAUAAAAGAUCUCCUUCCACCUUAAACUUAUCAUUAUUGAUACGUUGCAUGAUAUUGAGGACUAUAGAAUCUCCAAUAGUCGCAGUAUAUACUUGAUUGUGGAAGUCAACAUCAAUUGACACUAUAGCAGAGCAAAGCUUGAAUUGUUUUGACUUCAACAAUGUUAGACACUAUUGAUUAAAUGCUACUUCUCCAACCUUUGGCGCUAGAUACGAUCUCUUUGAUAAUACAUCGGAUAGUCUUUGUUGUUUCUUAGACCGAUAAGUAAUAAGAAAGUCAAACCUAGAUAGUAACAUAUUCCAUCGAGCUUGACAACAAUGCAGAAUUUGAGCCGACAUGAAGUACUCCAAAUUCUUGUGAUCCAUGUAUACGGUCACCAGAUGCACAACUCCUUCGAGAAAGUGGCACCAUUCUUGCAAAGAAUCUACUAUCGCAAGAAGUUCUUUAUUGUGGAUCUUAUACUUGAUCUUGGUAGUAGAAAACUUUCGAGAGUAGAACGCAACCGGAUGAAGCUUCUCAUCUGCACCUAUCUGCAAAAAUACAGCUUCCAUAGUAAAAUUUGAAGCAUUGGUCUCUAAAUAGAAGGCCUUUACAAAGUCCGGAUGCACCAAGAUUGAAGCCAUAGUAAAUGCCGUCUUAAGUUCUUGAAAUGCUUUUCCGCUAGAGGUUUCCAUUCAAGCUUGUCUUUAUAUGUUAACUGAGUGAGCGGAACAGCAACUUAAGAAUAAUUCUUAAUGAAGAUUGGAUAGAAGUUAGCAAAGGCAAGAAAGCAUUGUACAUCUCUAAUCGUCUUUGGAACUUCCCAUGAUACAAUUGCUUCUACCUUCUUAGGAUCCAUCUUCAAACCUUCCGUAGUUGCAAUGAAUCCCAAAAAUUCCAUCUCACUUUGGUUAAACAAACACUUCUCCAACUUGGUGUAAAGUCCUCUCUUGUAGAGUUUUUCAAGGACUAGAUGAACAUGUUUCUCAUGCUCUUCUCUGUUCUUGGAAAAUAUUAGAAUAUCACCUAGAUAGAUGACAACAAAAUCAUCAAGGUGCUCUCGAAAGAUAUCAUUUAUCAUGUGUUGAAAGACCAUUGGAGCAUUGAUAAGAUCAAAAGACAUGACAUUAUAUUCAAAAUGGCCAUACCUUGUACGAAAAGUUGUCUUCUAUUUGUCUCCUUCUUUGAUUCGCACGAGGUUAUAAGCUCUCCUUAGAUCAAUCUUUAUAAAGAUUCUUGCACAUCCAAGUUGCUCUAGAAGACCUGAUAUCAAAGAUAAUGGAUAACAAUUCUUCUUUGUCACCUUGUUGAGACCUCGAUAAUCCAUACACAUCUGUAGCAAGCCAUCUUUCUUCUUUAUAAAUAAGAUUGGUGCCCUAGUUGGCGACUUCAAAUGGCAAAUGAAGUUCUUGGCUAGAUUCUUGUCAAUGUACUUUCGCAACUCCGCUAACUCCAUUUGUGAUAAAUUAUAGAUUGGGCCAAAAGGUGGUUGUACUCCUUUCUGCAAGUCUAUGGCACAAUCAUAUGGUCAAUGCUCCGAUAGCAUGUUGACAUUCUUCUUUUGAAACACGUUUUUAAAAUCCUUAUAUUGCUUCGAUAUACUUGCUAUCAAAAUCUUUUCUCCGCUAAUUGGAGUCGCGUAAAUGACAAACGAUGUGCCUUCCUUGGACGAUGAUACAAACGCUCUUGCUCCAAUAAAUAAGGAUUUUUUUAUUCGGGAUCUUCUAACAUGCUUACUCUUGGAAUAUUCUAUAGGAAAUGUCAUCUUUUGUAACCUCCAAUCUAUGGAUGGAUUAUGCAUUUCUAACCAAGAAAGAUCAAGAAUAACAAGGUUUGACAGGGUUCUAAUAAUAUUAAAAAUAAUAUAACUACUAUGGACUUUAAACGUCACAUCUAUAGGUUCUAAUUUAUGGGUGAUACUACCAAACAAUAAAGGUCAUCCAUCUAUUAUGUUUAUGUGAACGGAUUUAGGUUUUUAUAUUAGAGGAAUCUUGUGACGCUUAGCAAAUUCUUUGUCUAAAAAGCAAGCAGAUGCUCUUAAAUCUAAUAACGCUAAGGUUUUUAAUUUUUGAGGGCCAAAAGAUAGAAGAAUAUUAAAGUAAUGGACAAGCUGAGUGGAAAGAGAAGAACCUGAUUUUUUUUAUGGUAUUGAAUUGUUUAGCCACAUGGUCCCUAUUGUGUAUGGGCAUCCUCGUUUUUCUGAACAAAUGCACCUCUGGUCCUGAUAAUGCGUCAAUUUUGCUUCUUGAGGCAGUUCUCAGCUCUUUGGCCUUCUUCACCACACUACAAGCAUAGUCCUUCCUCCAUAUACUACUUUUUUUUCUUCUAGAAUUACGAAUUUCACAUGCACCACGUCAAUUUACAUGUCUUCUAGCUCUGAAUGUGAAUUCAGGCUACUUGUUGGAGUGUUGUGAGCCAUAUGAAAAUGUUGGAAUGCAAUGAUAAUAGUUGGAACCAUAUUAGAAACAAUUCAGAAUGUUGAAGUACUCAAUAUAAAUUAAUCUAUGAAAAAAAUACAAGAUCAAGUAAAAAAAAGUUAAAUAUAAUGUACCUUGAAAUAUAAAGCUAAAUAAAAUAAUAAAGUUAAAUUUAAAAUCAAAAAUAUUAAAAAGUUGAGGAGAUUCUUUAUUUUUUAUUUUUUUUCCACAAAAACAAAGAUCUAUAAUGAAUUACGACAAUAGUGACAAAUAGGGGUAGUAGUAACAGAUGACAAUGGUAGAAAAUGGAGUGCAAUAAUUAAUGGCAAUGCACGAUAAUUUGGCAAGGCAGUGUAGCUUGAUUGUAAGAUUGUAAAGGCAAGUAAGACAUAGAGCAUAAUUGGUAAGAUGCAUAGUGUAGAGCAAUGCAUUGUAGAAAACAAAAAAAAAUAAAACAAAAAAAAAUAAAAAAAUAAAGAACAAGGUACAAAGAAGUUUCUUAGAAUUAAAACUAAUAUACAGGAGAAUUCAUGUUAAUAAUGUGUUGAGAUUGUUUGAUGAGACACAAGAGUAGCUGGAAGUAAUGUACAUACACUUACACACAAGAAAGUGUAUAGAAGGAGAGAGAGUUUCUUAUCUAUGUAUUGAUGUGGUUAUCUCUUGUAUACAAAGAGAAGGAAAAAAGAUAAACAACUUUUCCUCAUUACAUUCCAAACUUUGUAGCUAUAGUAUUUAUUGUAAACUAUAAUAAAUAUUAUGGAGAGUGUAGGCUACAUUUAAUGCUUUUAACACUUUUAUAAGAAGUUGUUCUUUUCAAAGCUUACUACCCUCUUAUAAUAUCCACAUCCAAAAACACCUAAUAUAUCAUUUUAUCAUCCUAUAAUUUAGCUUGCAAAAGGAAUUAUUGUAGAGUUUUUAUUUUUAUUUUUUGGAAUAGAUUCUAUAGUUUGUAUCUAAAUGUUAUUUUUUUAGGUGUCUUAUAUAAAAAAAAUUAAAAUUUAAAAUUUAAAGAUAUAUGAUUGAUGUAAAUCAACCUCCAAAGUCAGCUAUUCUAUAAAGAUGAAAAAUUCUAAAUUGAAAUGAUCCGUAAUCUUUUUCAAAAUACAAGUGUGUUGAUAAUCAAGAAAGUGGAAUUGACUCCACUACCUAUGUUUAAUGCUAGGAUUUAGGAUUGUAGGAUGGAUAAAAUUAAUUCUUUGUUCUAUACUUUGCUAUUGUUUUUUUUCCCUUGAUCACUAUCUUUAUAAUUUAUCUGAAUUAUCUAAGAAGAUUUUACAAUAAGAAUAUAUUCUUUUAAGAAAUAUUUAGAUUUUUAAUAUUGAAAUAAAAGUGAACAAAAAAAUGGUUAUUUUAUCUUAUAUUCUAAUAAGAACAAUAAAUCAAAGAUAAAUGACAUUAAAUUAAUAAGGCCUGAACAAAAAAUAGGAUAUUUAUUAAGAUAUGGAUCACAUCAUUAUUAAAUAUUUAUUUAAUAUGAUUUAUUUUUGUAAAAAAAUAAAAUGAUACAUAAAAUAUAACCUACAAUAAAUUAUAACUAAUAAAUUAGUUACUUGUAAUAAUAUGUCUACAUGAGCUUUUUAAUAACUUUUUUUUUAUUUUUUUGUAAUGAAUUAUAACAUAUAUUUAUCAUAGAAUAUUUUAUAAAUUUAAUAUUUUAUUAUAUACUAUAUAUUUGUAAAUAAUAUUAUAUAAAUUAAUUUACUAAAAAAUUAUAUAUAUACAAUGACACAAAAAAAAUCUUUUUUUUUCUUAUUUUUUAAAUUUUUAUAUAAGUAUAUAAAAAAAAUACUAAAAAAAGAAAUUACUAUGUGUGAUUGUAAUAUUUUAGAAUACAAAUUUUUCAAAUUUAUACUGAUAAACUUUUAUACAAUUGAUACUUUAAAUUUUAAUCUUCUUAAUCUUUUUUAUUGCUGAGAAUAAGAAUCAAGUCUUUAACUUAUACAAAAAAGUUAUAUAAUAAUAUUUUAAAAUAAUUAUAUAAAAUAAUAUUUUAAUAAAGGUAAUUUUAAAUAAUUCUAAUCAAAUUAUAUUUAGGUAAAAUUUUAAAAAUAUAAUUUUCAUUUACACUUUAAAUCAGUAAAUUUUUUUAAUAAAAAUAAAUUAUUUUUAUUGAUUAAUAAAUUAAUUGGAUCAAUUUUAUAAAAUAUUCAUGCAUAUAAAAUACACAUUACAAAUAAAAGAAAUUUUGUUUUAAGUUUGUUUUUUUUUAUUUAUAUCAUAAGGUUUUAUUUUUAAAAAAAUGAAAUAAAAAAUAAACAUAAAUAUAUGCACAUAUAUAUAUAUAUAUAUAUAUAUAUAUAUAUAUAUAUAUAUUUGUUCCAACAUUAUAUGUAAAAAAUAUAUUUUACUAAAAAAUUAUAAAAUUUAAGAUACCAAUCUUCUUAUUUCUAAAAAUAAUAUAUAUAUAUAUGGGUGUGUAUGUGUGUGUAUAUAUACAUGUUAUGUAUUAUAUAUUUUUGGAUAUAUAUUAUCUAAAUUCUUAGAUAUUUUAUUUAUUUCUAAUAUUUUUUUAUGUCUACCAUGUUAUAUAAAAAUUCUUACAAUAAAUGGUAGGAUUUCAUAAAAUGAUUUGUGAUAUCUUAUUGAUUUAAAAAAAACUGUCUUUAACUAUUAAAAAUAAUUAUAAACUGAGACAUAUUUAAGUUUAAUAUAUUGUGAAAAUUUUACAUAAAAAAAAUUCAAAAAGCUUAGAAAUACAUAUAUACAUAUAUAUAUAUAUAUAUAUUUAAUGGUACUUUUUUAUAAUAUGAUAUUACAUAAAUGAAUUAAAAUCAAAUAAAAUUAAAAGUAAAAUAUUUUAAAUAUAUAUAUUAUUUAAUAUUUUGAUUUUUUUUAUUACCUUUCAACACAAAUUGUCACUUGUAUUAGUUUACUAAAUAAGAAAUAAUUUAGAUAAAAUUUUGUUUUGAUACUUCACAUAAUUUAUAUAUGUUUGUGAUAUAAAAGAACUACUAAAUUAGUAAUGCAGUAAAAUUUUAUAUUACUAAAUUUUGUGUACACGAUCAAAAAUGCAUUCAUAAGAAGAAAGAAAUCUUGGAAGAUAAUGUUUUCAAAAUAUACAUUGAAAGUAAACAAGAAGAUAUUUGAAUUAUUUUAUCAAGCUUAUAACCUUAUAAAAUGUAUUUGAUUGAAGUAAUAAAACUUAGUAGAAGAUAUUAAGAUUUAUUACUGUGUUUAGAAGUACCAUAUAAUUUAAAUUUAAAUUGCUAAAUUUUAAAUAUAAGUAUUAAUUUCUAUUAAAGCCUUAGUUAAAUCAAAUUGAUAUUUCUAUUUAAAUCUUGAUGAAUAAAAUAAUUUGACAAGUUAAUAAAUUUUGAUAGUAUUUAAAAGUUUUAAAAAUGUGUAUUAUAAAGUUUCAGUCAGAAAUUAACUUCCUUAAAGAUUUACACAAUUUUUCUUAAAUGCAAUAAAAAAAUUAGAUAAUAUCUAUUAAAAAUAAAUAAUAAAUUUUUAAUUUUUAAGUUAUUUGGUGAUAUUAUUAAGUAUAAAAAAAUCUCACUAAAGACAAUAAUUUUUUUAUAUUAUAAAAACCGUUUAAAAUUAAGAUAAAUGAUUAAUUAAAUCUAAUAUUGUUACUAAAUUUUAUACUACUAUAGGUAAUAUUAUAACCUUUAGUAUUUUACGAUUAAACUAUGUAAUUUUUGUACAAUAUCUUUAAUAAAAUAACUUCAAAUAAACUAUAUAUUUUUAGAUAUGUUAUAUGGAUAUCAUUUUUAACCUUAAAAAAUAAAUUAUUAUCAAAAAAAUGUUAGUAAUUAUUUAUAAACUUAUUUUAUUAUGUAAUUUCUUUAAUUAUAAGGAAAAAAAAUACAAAAUGAAUAUAAACCAAAUAUUCUUAAAGCAAUAAAUUAUCUAAAUUCUUGGUACAAUAUUUUUAGUAGUAAAAAGUUAUAUAAAAAAUAUUUUUUUAGGAAUGGGCGGUUUUUUUUGUUUCUUUUGGUACUCUUGUUUUAUAAUAAUAUGCUUAAUCUAAGUAUAUUAUAAUUUAAAAUUUAAAAAUUUUUUGGUAAACUUUAUGUUUUUUAUACACCUUUAAAUGAAAUCGACUAAAAAAUUUACCAUAAAGUCUUUUUAAUAAACUUUUUUCAAUGUUACAGAUCUUAAACUUAAGUUCUGUUAAUAUAGAGAUUGCAAUCAAUGAUUUUAACAAUUAUCUUGUGAAGCUGUAGCCAUCUAGUAGAAAUAAAUUAAUUUUUUUUUAACACUUGCAAUAUAUUAUUACCAUAUAAUGUAUCUUAGAUUAAGUUAAUCAAAAAAGAAUUUAUAAAAAAAAUUUGAUUAAGUUAUACAAAAAAAAAAUAAUUUUAAUCUUUUUGAAUAGUAGAUCUUUAGUACACACAUUUUUCGUAUUUUUAAGAUUACGAAUUUAAGUAUUUAUAUUAAUUUUAUAGCUCAAUGAUUGAACACUGUUACAAAAAAAUCUUGAAUAUUUAUUUUAUAUUUUAUUUAUUUUGAAUCCAAUAAUAUAAAUGUAUGAAAUUUUAAAUUUUUAAAAAUUUAAAAAAUAAAAUUAGAAAUUCAUUAUUUUAUUAAUUUAAAAACUUAAUCAAUAAAAAAAUCAUGACGAUCUUAAUAAUUAUAAUAAUAAAUUAAUCUUAUUUAUAAAUAGUAGAAUUUAUCCUAUUAAAGAAAAUUAAAUAAUUACUAUUAUAAUUCCUUACAAAAAAAAUGGAUUAAAAUGCAAAUGUUAGAUCUUUGAUUAUAUUCUACAUACUAAUAAUAAUUAUAUUAUUAUUUUUUAACACUUUGAUUUAUGUCUUAUUUUCUUCUAAAUAUAUUCUAUUUAUAGUAUAUAUGUUUUAAAUUUAAUAAUUAAUUAUUUUCAUCGAAUCUCAUAAAGUUUGAUUUUAAUCUCUUUACCAUAAAAUAUACUCAAAAUGCACUUAGAAACCAAAAAAUACACUAUGCACACAUCUAAAUAUAUAUUACAUUAAUCCACCAUAAACAAUCUUUAGAUGAUAUAUUUAGAUGAUGGAGUACAUCUUUUAUUAAUAAAUAAAAUUUUAUAAAACAAAUUACAAACCAAUAUAUAAGAGUUUUUAUUAUAAUGAAAAUAUUUUUAAUCGAAUAUAAUGCCUGAUUAUGUUUAAUUGUCAAUUUUUACCAUGGUUGGUUGAUUUGUAGUAAACUACCUCAAAUAAUAUUUUAUGAUUACAUAAAUUGUAAGUAACUACAAUCUAUACUCUUACACCUUAAUACAUCUAUAUUUACUCAUAAAUUUCUUUGUUGUGUAAUCUAAUUGUGUGACUUAAAUUUCUAAUCCAACUUAACAGAUACAUUCUUUCUUAUUAUUUUUGAUUGUAACACUUCACCACUUUUCCUUAUUAAAUUCUUCUAUUAAAAAAACAAUAUGUAUGUAUACAUAUAUAUUAAAUUAUUAACGUACUAAUAUUUUUAUACACAUUAGUGUAUUACAAAAUCCAGUUAAUUUUGACAACCUACAUAAUAAACAACCAUGCUAAUCGUCUUAUACCACUCAAAUACUCCAAAUUAUUCUGGAUGUCGUUGUGAAUUUUUAGUUAUACACACUAUAUAUAUUUAAAAACCAAAUUCCAAAUCCAACACAAUCUCUUACUUUACUACAAUCAAUUUAGACCCAACUUUUUAACCAUUACAUUUUACAUCUCAUAAAAACUACAAACUCAAUAAAUUCUAACAACUGAUGAAGGAUACGACCUACUAAAUCCUACUUCUUCCAUCCUCAAAACAAUUAGUUUUACUCAAAAAACUUCACAUCUUGCUACAUUUUGCAAAACCUAAAUCCAUGCAAAGGAAUUAUCGCCACAAUGCGAAUGGAAAUGGCAAAAUGUGCACACACACCAUGCGAAACAAUGAACCACUCCGACGUCAGCCAUUCUCGUAUGGUGACCGGCAACACAACCACCUGCCGACAGUGAAGCUCAAUACAUGCGCAGCUCAAGCGUCUUCCAUCACACAAACACACAAUUGCAAUUUAAGUAGCAACCAGAUACACACAAUUGUAACCAAUCAAGCAGACACAACAUCUACAAAUUUACUUCAACCAAGAUCCAUGUGCACCCACACUUCAACCCUAGAUGCAAAUUCUCAGCAACAUACACUAGUAUGUGCAAGACUAGUGUUCAUUGCAAUUGCUCAGCUGGGAUUGAAUAUCCGUCAUUCACUGCACAUCGCAUUCUACCCAUAUCAGACAAAACAGCACCAUCACAUUCUUACUGUCUGCAAUCCUGAUCAUUCGCCACCAGCUACGAUCAUAGCCAAGACCUGCAAGCGCUGAUCCAUGCUCGAAAGAGCGAACAUCGAUGAUGGCCCAGUGAUGCCACAUCAUGGUGUGUGAAGAUUCGAGCAGUUUCGAAGUCAGAAAGCGCAGAGCGCCAAGUUUGCAGUGACGGCGAGGCCGCACUUCGCACCAGGCCAUGCCGCACCAAGCCGUCCGUUGGACGGCGGAUGAGGAACGCGAUUCGAGGGGCAGGGCAUCGUGGUUGUUAGCUGAGGCUCGGAGCUCUGUGCUUGAAACGAGGCAAGGAAAGCUCUUCAACGGCCACUGGAUUAUGAUAGUUUGCACCCAUCCAGAAGACGAAUGAAACGUCGACCGCAUUGCCGUUACACUGCUGAGGCUGGUGAUCUUCUCACAAAUGAACCAGAUGAGCAGUUUCUAGAAAUCUUGCUGCUUGGGCCGCAGUGCAACGGCCAAUGCUGGAGCUGUAGGAGCCGCCUUUAGAUCAAACAGUUCUCUGGUUGUUGAGUUGAAGGCACCACAAUGGUUGUUUUGGAAGAAUUCCAGCAGACUUUGCUAGAUUGAGUUAGUCCUGAGCUGGUUUCCUUCUCUAGCAAGUUGGUGAAGGUUUCAAAAUAUUUUGACAUAUACUCUCUUCUAUUGUUAGUGCGCAAUACUUUGACCUUACAUUCACAUUGCUUCUCCACAAGUACCUUAAACUUCUUAAAUCUUAAGAAACACUCAUUCUUGGUUUUAAGGAUGUAAAUCCAUACUUUUCUUGAAAUAUUAUCAAUAAAUGUGACAAAGUACCUUGCUUCCAUAUUAGAUGGUGUCUUCAUUGGUCCACAAAUAUCAUAAUACAUAAUUUCUAACUUGGUUGCACUUGAUGCAAUUUCACAUUUGACAUCAUACCAUAUAGAAACUCCUCCUAAAUGCGGUUUUGCAUUGGUUUUUGAAACAAAACAUAUUCUCUUAAUGGAAACAACAACUCAAAAUCACUAAUGGUAUGAACUACUCAAUAGUGAAGGAUUUUUUGUCAGUUCAAAGAAAGAUCAAAGUUUUUGUAUAUAGCAAAGAUGUAUAAUUAUUUGCUUUGUUAAUUGCAUUUGAAAUACAUGAAACAAAAGUAUCAUGCACAUUGUUUUGUUGCUGAUCCUUACUUCUAUGCAAUUCAACUUUGUGUCACGGCCAUAAUCAUGUAAGCUAAUAAUUACAUAUAGAAAUAGGUAGAAGUUAGUAAAAGUAGAUACAAGUAAGUUAAUUCUAUAAUAUUUAAUAUAGAAGCUUCCUAGAAACUUCCUAAACGCUGCUUUGACUUCAUAGGUGUCUUUAAUUGACUUUUUGGAUUAGAAACGUGGUCAACAAGUUGGCCAUGUGCCACACAUGUUGUUAGCUUGAAGAUCAAGCUAACUAUGUGGCCCACACGUAGAAAAACUUGCCUUGUAAGACAAGGCAUGUGUCCUACAAAGUCAAUACAUAUUGGAGGUCCUAUAGAACGUCGCCACGUAGCUCCUACUUAGAUAGUAUAUAUAGAGACAAGAGUGAAGGCUUCUUCACUCUUGUCAACUCCUCUCUUGCUUCUAGUCCAGGUUCAAGAGUCUUUAGUUUCUUGUCUUGUGGCAAUAGCCAUUCCAGUUUCCUUUUAAUAUACCUACUUGUUUAUAUUUUGACUUAUUAUAUCGAGAUAGCCUUUUGGUGUAUAUUUUCCCUCAUCGAGUCUUUGUCCUUGACAGAUUGACAAGAAUACACUUACAAUAUCAGAGCUUUGUUUUUUCUUGAGUAAGAGUGGAUUACCCCUUUCUCUUGACAAGACAUAAGCGUAUUAGAAGUUUGCGGAUUACCCACUUCUAAACUGAUAUUGUUCUUAGUAUCUUCUUUGUUAUCAAGUCUUUCUUUUCUUUUGUCUUGAGCAAUAUCAAACAAAUUUUUCUUCUUAGUGUCAUUAUGGCAGAGCUUGUUGAAAUGAAGAGUGCAAUGGCACAAAUGCAAGAGCAAAUGAGGGAGUUAAUGCUUGCGAUGCAUCAACUCAAUUCACCAACACAGGAAAGAACAAGAAUAGCAGAAAGUGAAGAUAUAGAGAUGAUCGGAGUUGCUUCAACAUCUACAACAAAUCACGUUCCUUCUCCAAUUGUACAACACCCUAUAAGCACUAGAGAACCAAGAAUUGCCUUACCUGAGAAAUUUGAUGGUACGAGAUCAAAGUUUCGAGGGCUCAUCAAUCAAGUACAAUUGGCAAUUGAACUUCAACCGCAAAGCUAUCCAACUCCAGGAUCACAAGUUAGGUUUAUUGGCACUCUACUUUCUGGUUCUACAUUAUCGUGGUUUUCGUCUUUUCUUGAACAACGAAAUCCAAUAUUGGACAAUUUGGAAGCUUUUUUGGCGGAGUUUCGAUCUAUGUAUGGUGAACACGAUGCAACUCGUGUUGCAACAAAUAAGAUCCAAAUUCUCUGACAAGGAAAUCGCUCAGUAACAGUAUAUGCUUCACAAUUUCGACAACUUGCAAUUGACAUCAAGUGGGAUGAUGCUGCACUCAUCAGUCAAUUUCUUUAUGGAUUGCAAUACGAAGUAAAGAAAUUGAUGCUCAACUUACCUGAUCCUCAAACUUUGAGUCAAGCAAUCGACUUUGUAGUAAAAUGUGAUAAUCGACUUUUUGAAUUUCGAUCUGAGAAUCAUUCACGGGAACCUCAACGUUAUUACUCAAUGGCAACAUCAACAUCUUUGCCAAACGUACAUUCGGAAGUAGAAGACAUGCAAAUUGAUGCGGUACAUUUUAAACCUCUAACUGAGCAAGAAAAGAUUCGUCGUCGUCAAGAAGGAUUAUGUUUAUAUUGCGGUGAACCUAAGCACACUGCUCAACAUUGUCCAAAGAAACGAUGCAACUAUAAAAUGAGGGGUACGACGGUCAAAGAAGACAACAUGUCGGAAAACGGAUUCGUCCAGCUACAAUAGGGACUGUGCAGCUGGAACCUUGUACAAUUCCUAAUGAAGGUCCUAUCCUCUCCUCAAAACCCUCUCCUUGUUUUAUAAUAGACUUAUAUUUAGGACCUAAGAAUUACAAAGCCUCUGCUUUAUUAGAUUCGGGAGCCUCAGCAUGUUUUUUAGAUGAACAAUUUGUUAAAAGUCGUAAAAUACCCUUUGUACGGAAACCUAAACCAGUACAUGUAGAAGUCAUAGAUGGUCGUCCCUUGUCUUCUGGAGAUGUCACUCAUGAAACUCAUCCUAUAAAAGUAACAAUAGACGGUCAUGAUAGCUACAUAGCUUUUAACAUAAUUAAAUCCCCGUCCAAUCUAGUUAUUUUAGGUUUAUCCUGGCUACAAAAAUAUAACCCUCGAAUAGAUUGGAAUUCGCGUAAACUUGACUUUUCCCAGAGCAUUAUUAAUAGUUCUAUGAACAAAGUAAAAAAUUAUAAGUCUAGUAUAGUAAAACCCGUACUGAUAGGUGCAAAAGCAUUUAUACACGCAGCAAAAGAAAGAUCAACUUUUGCUAUUUAUGUUGCACCUAUUUCUGAAAACGUAAAGACUUCAAGUGGCAUUCCAAGUCAAUAUCAGGAGUAUCAAGACGUUUUUGAGAAAAAGAAUGCAGAUAUUCUUCCUGAGCAUCGUCCAUAUGAUUGUUCAAUCGACCUCAAGGAAGGAACUCAGUGACCAUUUGGACCAAUUUACAGUUUAUCGCAAGAUGAGAUGGCUGAACUCAAGACAUAUAUUGACGAGAAUUUAGCGAAGAAUUUCAUACGCCAUUCAAAAUCUCCAUCAGGAGCUCCAAUUCUAUUCGUAAAGAAAAAAGAUGGAUCUUUACGAAUGUGUGUUGAUUAUCGAGGACUCAACAAGAUCACAAUCAAGAACAGGUAUCCAUUACCUUUGAUAUCAGGACUCCUUGACCAGUUGAAUCAAGCUAAGAUCUAUACAAAAAUAGAUCUAAGAGGAGCAUAUAAUCUAGUACGGAUCAAAGAAGGAGAUGAAUGGAAGACUGCGUUUCGAACCAGGUAUGGACAUUUCGAAUAUAAUGUCAUGCCCUUUGGACUCACGAAUGCACCAGCUGCUUUUCAACAUCUCAUGAAUGAUGUAUUUCGUGAAUUCUUAGACAAUUUUGUCGUCUGCUAUCUAGACGAUAUCCUGAUCUAUUCUAAGAACGUCGAAGAACAUGAAAUACAUGUUCGUCAAGUAUUACAAAAACUUAGAGAUGCAGGAUUGUACGCCAAGAUGGAAAAGUGUGUAUUUCACACUACUCAAGUUGACUUUUUAGGAUACAUCAUUUCAAAUGAUGGUCUCAUGAUGGAUUCUAAGAAAGUCCAAACAAUCAUGGAUUGGAAGAUUCCAAAGACGGUAAGAGAUGUCCAAUGUUUCUUGGGAUUUGCCAAUUACUAUCGGAUCUUCAUGAAAGAUUUCUCACAAGUUGCAGCUCCACUUACACGCUUGACUAGUAAAGAUAAAUUUCAAUGGAAUCAAGAAGCGGAAGCAGCAUUUGAAGCCUUGAAGACAUCGUUUGUCUCUGCACCAGUCUUAUAUCGUGUUGACUUUUCCAAGGCAUUUUUUAUGGAAACAGAUGCAUCAGAUUUUGCCUUGGGUGCAGUUUUAUCACAAAUGGGAACAGAUGACAAACUUCAUCCGAUAGCUUUUCAUUCAAGAAAAUUCUCAACAGCCGAGAUCAAUUAUGAGAUCCACGAUAAAGAACUUCUUGCGAUCGUGGAUUCCUUUCAAGAAUGGCGUCAUUAUCUAGAAGGCGCUUCUAGUCCAGUCAUUGUGUAUACAGAUCACAAGAACCUCGAGUAUUUCAUGUCAGCACGCGUGUUGAAUCGUCGUCAAGCUCGUUGGAGUAUGUCUUUGUCAAGAUUCGAGUUCAUUAUCACUUAUCGGCCAGGAAAACAACAAGGUUUGUCUGAUGCCCUAUCUAGACGUUCUUAUUUUGCACCAAAAGAAGGAGAUGCAGCUUUUGAGCAACAAAGAACGGUCCUCUUGAAACCGGAGAAAUUUCAUCUCCGAGCAAUGAAAUCAACAUUGACUGUUGAUUCAACUUUUCUCAAGCAAAUCCAAUCCAGUAUGUCCUCAGACCCUCUUGUUCAUGAUAUCGAGAAUAAUUCUUCCAAGUCUCAUGAUCUUUCUAAGUUCGAGUUCAAGAAUAAUCUAUUAUAUUUUGAAGGACGCCUAUAUGUUCCAGAAGGAGAAGCACGUUUACGUGUUCUUCAAGCACGUCAUGACUUUCCAGCAGCAGGGCACUUUGGAUAUAAUAAGACUUUGGAACUCAUAUCAAGAGAUUUUUGGUGGCCACAAAUGUGGAAGUCAGUCAAAGACUUUGUACAAUCAUGUGAUAUUUGUGCAAGAUCAAAAAUUCCUCGUCAUCGACCUUACGGACUUCUUCAGCCAUUACCUAUACCAGAACAACCAUGGUCUUUUGUUUCUAUGGAUUUCAUCACAGAUCUUCCAAGCUCAAGAUCUUAUGAUUCUAUAUUUGUGAUAGUAGAUCAUUUCACCAAGAUGGCACAUUUUGUGCCAUAUACAAAAUCUAUCACAGGUGAAGAAACAGCUAAGCUUUUCAUUGAUAAUAUCUAUCGCUAUCAUGGAUUACCUAAAGAUAUCAUAUCGGAUAGGGGAACUCAAUUUGUGUCAAGAUUUUGGAGGACCCUUUUCAAGAUUUUAAAAGUGGACAUAAAGCUAUCUUCAGCUUUCCAUCCUCAAACUGAUGGACAAACAGAGCGCGUAAACUAAGUCUUGGAGCAAUAUUUAAGGUGUACUAUCAACUACCAACAAGAUGAUUGGACAACCCUUCUGCCAUUGGCAGAAUUUGCUUAUAAUAAUACGGUACAUUCUUCCACGCAACAAACACCUUUCUUUGCCAAUUAUGGCUAUCAUCCAUGACUUGAUACUUUUGAUUUUUCAAAAGUUGAUAAUCCUGCAGCAGAAGAUAUGGCAAAUCGGUUGUCAGAGUUACAUGCAAUAAUGAAUAUGCAAUUGAAGGAAGCUCAAGAACGACAAAAGAUAAACGCAGAUCUAUAUCGUAAGGAGCAACCACAAAUCAACGUGGGUGAUAAGGUAUGGCUACUUCGUCGCAAUAUCAAGACUACUCGACCUUGUGACAAGUUGGACUAUCGUAGGCUUGGCCCCUUUUCUGUUUCUGAACAGAUCAACCCAGUUGCAUAUCGGUUACAUCUACCAGAGUCAAUGAAGAUCCAUCCUGUAUUCCACGUGUCUCUUCUUGAACCAUAUAAGACAGUGGAUAUACAAGGAAGAAGACAAAUGCCACCGCCUCCUAUAGAAGUAGAUAAUAAUGAAGAAUUUGAGGUGGAAGAGAUAUUAGACUCAAGGCGGCGCCGAAAUAAGCUGGAAUAUCUUGUUCAUUGGCGCGGAUAUGAUAUUAGUGAACGCACAUGGGAGCCAUCCAGGAAUCUAGGAAAUGCAUCAGCUAAAGUCAAAGUUUUUCAUCAACGACAUCCAUCAAAACCAAGAUGAAAAUCUCUCUUAUAAAAGAGACAAGAUUGAGGCAAGAUAACAUUCAAUUUCCUAUCCUUGUUUGUAACUUCUUUGCAUUUGUGACGCUAAUUAGAUGGAGAGCCAACAACCAGCGGAUUCAACUCAAGAACCUUCGUUUACUGACCUGCCGGAUGAGACAUUACGAUUGUCACAACCUUCAAGACGACGCAAUCAAGAUGAAGAUCUUCAAGAACGACAUGUUCUUCCUCGAACAGAUGGUGAGAUACAACGCGUUUGGUAUCACGAUUUGGGAAGGGACUCUCGAUGUUUGGUGAUUUUGCUAGAGGUAGGAACAACUCCUGAUGGUGUUCCGAAUAUUCUAUUCGAAGGAAGUUACGAAGGCCUCAACAAUGAUCAAAUAACUGGGUGGUCUUCCCGCCCUGGUAUGGGAUACUACCGAUGGUUGAGAGGCCCUAUCAAUCAUCUUCGAAGAGAACAGAGAUCAAAGUAUGUGGCGAAUACAAUUCGUCGCAUUAUAGAUUUCCUCAACAUAUGAUGACCGCUCCUCGUGGAACUCGUCUCUAGAAGGGGGAGUAAUGUCACAGCCAUAAUCAUGUAAGCUAAUAAUUACAUAUAGAAAUAGGUAGAAGUUAGUAAAAGUAGAUACAAGUAAGUUAAUUCUAUAAUAUUUAAUAUAGAAGCUUCCUAGAAACUUCCUAAACGCUGCUUUGACUUCAUAGGUGUCUUUAAUUGACUUUUUGGAUUAGAAACGUGGUCAACAAGUUGGUCAUGUGCCACACAUGUUGUUAGCUUGAAGAUCAAGCUAACUAUGUGGCCCACACGUAGAAAAACUUGCCUUGUAAGACAAGGCAUGUGUCCUACAAAGUCAAUACAUAUUGGAGGUCCUAUAGAACGUCGCCACGUAGCUCCUACUUAGAUAGUAUAUAUAGAGACAAGAGUGAAGGCUUCUUCACUCUUGUCAACUCCUUUCUUGCUUCUAGUCCAGGUUCAAGAGUCUUUAGUUUCUUGUCUUGUGGCAAUAGCCAUUCCAGUUUCCUUUUAAUAUACCUACUUGUUUAUAUUUUGACUUAUUAUAUCGAGAUAGCCUUUUGGUGUAUAUUUUCCCUCAUCGAGUCUUUGUCCUUGACACUUUGAUCUCAUGAAUCUUUUCAAACUCUAUAUUAUGAACCGAUAAAGCCAAUACAAAAAAACUCACUAAAUUAUCACUCUUACAAGCAUCAACCAUAACCACCAAUAGCUCUUGUGUAUGAGAAAUGAAAAAUUUGUUAAAGAACUACUCACAAGCUCCUCAAAUUUUGUAAGAAUCUAAGGAUUAUGAAAGCAUAUAUUUGUGCUAUAAAACAUAAUCAUGAAUGUCUCAUCCUUCAUCAAUCUCUUAUAAGAUAGUUGACUUUGUCAUUUUUAUGGAAGCUUAGAAAAAUCUUUCAUGUUGCACGUGAUUUUGAGAUUCAAUGCAUCGCAUCUCCUUUGUAAUACCUAUCACUAAAAAUUAUUAUGCACAUGUGAUUGAGUGACAUAAGAAUGCAUCACAUUAAAAUAUAUUUCAAUUGUGAUGAUCAACAAAAUGCUUUAUAAUCUGUAUUGAACAUACAAAGUACAAAUAUCAUUAUUGGAAUUGUUUCAAAAGUACAAAAUUUUCAAGCAUUCUUCACUUAUUCCUAAAGAACCAUGUGAAGGACAAGUUUAAUGAAGCAAUAACAUAGCAAUUAGUUAGCAAAUGGUAGUGUGGCUUAAAGACAAUUAAUUCAAUAGUGAAAUUUAUAAUCAUAGAGUAAUUAGGAUCCUCUCCAUAAUUACAUAAAGACCAAUAACUUGAUUAUAUAUAUAUAUAUAUAUAUAUAGAUAGAUGAAAAGAUGUUAAAGCUAUACCACCCUUACCAUUUCAUAAUUGAUUCUAAUCAUUUCCAUCUCUAUUUCUUAGUCCCAUGUCUUCAUUUUUUUUCCCUUGUUUUAUAUCUCGUGCCUCAAACCUUCCAUGUUCAAGUUUCUAUUCUUAAUUCAUUGUCUCCUAGUAUUCUUAAAAAGCAAUCAAUACUAAUUAGCAAUAUUUUAAGCCUCCUACAUCAUAUAUAUUGACCAAUUUUAUUUUUAUAUUUCAACCUAAAAUGUUAUGACUCUUUAGCACACAUUGCAAAUGCAUCCUACAUCCCAUCUAAAAUUAUUAAGAAUUUCACCUAAGCUUGUAAUAGAGAUUGAUCACAAUGCGAUCAUAAUAGUUGUUGAUUAAGUAAAGCUUGACAAACCUUCAAAAAUACUUCUUUUUAUUUCACAUUUUGAAAAAUGAAAGAAUAUCUUGAUAAUAUUGAGACCAUCAUCUCUUAUCAAAAAUGAUUACUAGCUCUCGGAACUUGCUAUGACAUUACAUAUAUUGGCACAAGACUAAUAAUCUUUUCAAAUCACUUACCAUCAAAAAUUGGCAAAAGGACUUACAAUCCUUGACACCCAAGUCACCAUAUAAUAUUAGGUAAUCUUCUGCAAAAAAAACUUUUAAAAUAUUGUAGUAUCAAAAAACUAACCUCAAUUGUUCACUAAUCCAAGUAACAAAGACUAAAAUUAUCUAAGUAUUCCUAAUAGUAUCAAAAAGAAUUCCUUCAAAAAUCAGUAUUCGACUCAAAGAAGGCAGCAAGCAAUCGGCACAAGGAAUAAAGAAUAGAAACAAGGAUGGGAGGAAGUUGUAAAUAGGAGAUAUGAAAUAAGGAAGGAGAAUAAGGACAUGGGACUAGAAACAAGAGAUGAGAACAUGGAUGGAAAGAAGGAGGGAUUUUAGAACAAGAAAGGAGAAUGGAGACGUGGGACUUGAAAUGGAGAAUGGAUAAAAUAAUUAUAAGUUGGCAAGGGAGAGGUGUAGCUUUAACAACAUUAGAGUGUAGCUCAAAUAUAUAUAUAUAUAUAUAUAUAUAUAUAUAUAUAUAUAGACUUAAUAAAGAAGUCAUAUCAACAACUACAAACUAACAAUAAAGCAAGAAAUUAGAAGCCACCAAUUGUGGUGUUCAUCUUGAAUAUUAUUAUUAUUGUUAUUAUUAAUAAUUAAUUAAAAAUUGAAGAUACUUACAUUCUUCUUCUAUUAGAUGGCAUUGGAAUGAAAGAUUUCUAAGCUCAAGUAUCUUGAAGAAAAGAGGAUUAUAGACACUUAUUGAAUUAAUGAUAUUUUUUCAUGUGCAUUUUAUAAGUAGUGCAAAAUUAAUUUAGUGGAAUGGAACUAGUAUUGGUAUUAGUGUUUAUAGUUGAAAAAGAAUAAAUAUGAAGAUAGAGAGAUAAGAAGAAAAUGUAAGCAUAGUCAUCUUUGCAAAUAUAAAGUCAAGUUUGGAGGAGAACAGAAACUAUAAAUUCUAAAUCCUAAAUGUAUAAACAAAUAAUUUUUUUUCUUUUCUUAUUAUGAAUUUGAUACAUUUAUAUAUUAUAAUUUACAUUCAUCUAUUUUGAAUGCAAAAAAAAAAAAUGUUUUUUUAUUUUUUUUGGAUCCAAAGUUAUCUAUUUGCUAUAAAAAAAAUCAAUACAUAUUUAUAAAUUUUAAAAUUUGUGUACUUGAUUUCUUAUUUAAUUUAUAAAAUUUUAUCUUUAUUUUUAUUAUUUAUAAAAAAAAUAAAUAAUAAGUUUAUAAACUAGGAAUAUCUUUUUUUUUGAAAAUAUUAUUAAUUUAAAGAUAAAUUUGUUGAGAAGUAAUAUUAUGUAUGUAUAUAUUUAUAAAAAUUGAAAAGCAUUUCAAACCUUCAAUAUUUCAAAUUAACAAUUAAUAGUGUGAUUUUCUUAAAACUUUUGUAUCUUUCUAAAAGCCUAAUUCUUUUUUAUAAUAUGUGAUUAUAAAAUAAGUCUUAAAUUGACAUAUUUUUAUUUCUUAGAAUACAAAAAAAUAAAUAAAAAAUAAAAAAAAUAAAAACUAAAAAAACUAAAAAAAAAUAGGGCCAAUAUUUAAUUUAUACAUUAAUUCCUUUGAUUUUAAAUUUAAAGAGAAUACUUUUAUUUAAUAAUAAAAUAUAUAUUUUUUCUAUUAUCUCACAAAAAAUAUAUAUAUCAUAAACCAAUAAUAUAUAGAAACAUAAAUCUAUGGAUUGUAAUUUGUUUGAAUGUUCAGAUUUUUUAUUGUUAUGAUUUAUUUUUAAAUAUGCAAAUAUGUUUAGAAAAACAUAAAAUGAAUCAAAAGACUUCAUUAAGUUUCAUGCUUAAACUCUAUUCUAUAUAUUUUUAGCUCUUAAAUUUUCUUACAUCUUUGAAGAAAUUGCAUGUAUGUUGUCAAUACUCUUAUAAGAAUUUUAAAGACUAUAAACAUUGUUAACCAAUCUACAUUCCAAGUUACACAAGAUGUGGUUACUUUUGGACUUGGAUUUUGGUAUCUACUCUUUAUUGUGCAUAAUCUAACCAACCAUAUUAGUUUUUUCUAAGUUAUAUUCUAAAUAAUAAUUUUUUAUUUCUUAGCAAAUUAUCUUUAAUUUAUUUGAUUACAUAGAUAAAAACACAAUUUUCUUUAAUCUGUGCUUUUGUGCAUUUUCAGUUGUAAAUAUUUUCAUCUUUUGUUCAAAAUAAAAUAAAAUAAAUUUAUAUAAAAAUUAUUUAAUGUAUAUAUAUAUAUAUAUAUAUAUAUACACAAGUAUAUAUAGUUAUAGUUUUAGUUAUAUAAUUAUUCAUUUGUGUAUUUUUCUACUCUAUUUAGAUUUAAAACAUCUGAAAUACUAUAACUAUUUUAAAGAACAGAAAUUAAUAUAAUAAAAUAUAUAUAUUACAAUAAAGAUAUCAUUAUUAUUAUAUUUAUUAAAUAUGAAUUAAAAAAUAAGAUUAAAAAUCUAUAAAAAAUUAUAAUUGAUAAAUUGAUAAUUUUUUAUCUUAAAUAUUAUUAAACUCGUGUUUUUUUUACUAAAUUCAAUUAAUAUUCUUAGGAAAAUUUUAAUUUAGAAGUUGUUUUCAAAUUCUAUGUUUAUAUAUAAUAUGAUUGUUAUAACUAUAAUUAAAAUACAAAUAAAAAUUGUCUUUGGCUUAAAAUACACAAUUUCAAUAUAAUUAAGGAUAAUAAAUAUAUGGUUAAAUGCUUUUUAAUGAAAGCUUGUUCCAAGAUUUAGCAUUGAAGUAUUAGAUAUAAAUCUUGGAACAAGCAAAAAUAUAACUUUUUCAGUUUAUAUUAUUAUUAUUAUUAUUAUUAUACAAUAUAAAUCAUCCUUCUUACUUAAUUGCAAAAAAAAACACUCAUUAAUAAUAAAAUCUACAAAAAGAAUAAACUAUAUUUUUUUAAUAAUAAAUAACUUAAAUUAAGUAAAUAUCAAAUUGAAGAAGAUAUACAAGAGGAAAAACAACUUAUUGCAAGUUUGGCAACACCAUUGAUGGAAUUAGGAGACACAUGCCAACAUGGCCGAAAGAACAUCUAUGACUAUCUAUUAGAGCUUGUUUAUACUUAAGAUUUUAAUAUUUUAUGGAUAUUUCUUUGAUUUUAGUAGGCCCCUUGUAGUAGGAUUGAUAGUUUGACAUAUUAAGAUACUUCAAUAACAAUAUAAUCUUUUAAUUUUCUUUUCUAUAAGCUUAACUUUAUAUUUAAUUUCAAAUUAAGAAUAUUUAAAGAAACUAACUCACAUAUUUUGCAUGAGAGUCUUUUAUAAAUAAAAUGUAUAUAUUUUUUAGUUUCUAAUUACAUAAAAAUUAAAAACAUGUAUUGCAAUAAGAAUUCAUUUGAAUAAAUAAGCUACCAUAUAUAUAUAUAUAUAUAUAUACAUAUUAAUAUUCCUACUUUAACAAACAAUUAAUUUUAUUAUCUUGCAACAAUGGUUUUCAAAAAUCAAAGUCAUUGUAUCCAUAUACAUUUAAUAAGAUUUAUUAUACUUUAAAAUUAUACAACAUGUAAUGUAAUGAUGACAAUCUAUUAUUAACUUUCUUGCUUUAGCAAAAAUCCCUCUAAGUUUGAUCUAUUGAAUGAAUACUAUCUUAUAGAUUAUUAUCCAUGGAGUUGAAUUUAGAUGAAUAAUUUUGGAAGGAAGCUUUCAAAAAGAUUGAACCAUUUACUCCAUAUCUUUUUUUAGAUAUCAUAUGUACAACAAAUACUAGAAUCUUGUGUGCACUUCAAGAUGAUAUUUGAUACAAAUAAGAUCCCUUGUUUAACUCCCAUUAUCAAUAAAAGUGUUACCAUUAUUUACUUAUUGACUAAUUUUACAUAAGUUACACAAUUUGAAGACAAUUCAUUUUUACUUGAGUUCAAUACCUUCAUUAUCCUUAGGAUACCCUCAUCAAUAGAUCACAUCAAGAAUCACAACAAAGAAUUAUUGACUUGCUCAAAUUCUUAAUUCAGAUGGGUACUUAUUACAAAUAUUCAUCCUACCUAUUUGAAGAUAGUUUUUAAAGAUUUCGAAGCAACUUUUAUUUUAAUACUCUCUAUCAAGUCAAAUGCUAACUUGAAAUUGUGUAAUAUUUUCAUGUAGAAACUUUUUAUGACAAUUUUUUGGGCUAUAAAAUGAGUUUAGUUCUUUUGAAAUGACAUUAUCAUUUUUAGUUCAUCAUGUCAGACUUGAUGUCAUUAUACAUGCUCCAUUAUUUUAGUCACAACAUUUUUCAAACUUAACCUUCUGUCAAAUGAUUCAGAUAGCAGCACCUCUCUGAUUGAUUUGAAACAACUUAGAAUAUAUAUUAAGUGAGGAAUUACAAAAAAAAUCGGCAUUUAUUCUUAAAUGAUGGUCUCAACAGUUGUACAUCUCAUCAGGUAUCCCUCAUAAUCCUUGUUUGGUGCAGCAAAUUUUGUAUUUAUUGCACAGGUAAGUCGGUAGUAGUUGCAUUCAACUAGAUUUUUAUGAAUUUAUCAAAGGAGUUGGUUAUCUUCAGGGGGUGGGUAGAUUUUGAAACUACUCAGUUUUAUUUGAUUAUCAAUGAGCAGAUUAUCAAUGUAUGAAUCAAAAUACUCAAUUAAUGAUUUGUAAGCAGUAAUAUAUUGUGUAAGUAGUGGAUUGUGUCAAACUAGUGUGACAAUGCACCUAUCACACAAUCCGCAUACAAGUGUGAAAAUCAACCAAUAUUCAGCAUUCAGGUAAAGAAAAGUUUGUCAGUUCAUAAGCACAACUUAAACUCUUCGAAAGAAGGAAGCAAUUGCUACUGACAAGUCCAAUUGCGCACAUGCAUUGCACACAGUUGAGCAGCAAAAUUUCGAAGUAGCUCCAGCAGAUGAGAGAGAAAAAACAAGAGAAAGAAAGAAAAGAAAAAGGCUUCCACAGUUUAUUAAACUAUGUGGUUGGCAGAAACAGACCAGCAACUACGUGAUCGACAUUUUAACAGUCGGACACGACACUAAAGCACACCUAAAGCUCGUUGUUCUCUACUUUUGACUGUAUUACUGAGAACAAAUCGGUAUGGUUCGAAGUGGCAUGGAUUGAAGGCACUACCUGAGACUAAUGUUUAUGGUACAGCCCUCACGCUUGAGAAAUUUCCUCGGCGUUACGGUAUAAGGAUACAAAACUGUGAAUACUUUCACGGAACCAAUAAACAACUGAUGCAGGAAUAACACCUGAAACCUCGGCUUUUCUUCUGUGACCCAAUCCGUUGCCAGUGGACUGACAAGGAUGCCACUAUUGUACACGGGCGAUAUAACAAAAGCAAAACUGAUGAAGCUAUGUCCUGCAACCGCAAAAUUUCGAAGAGGACAAAGAGAAAAAAUAAUAAUAAUAAUAAUAAUAAAAAGAGGAAAAACUAAAAGGAACAAGGAAGAUGCAGACAAUACUAACCCCUUGACCAUGAGUGUGGAGGGCCUCUGAUGUAUUCAAUCAUAACUAGCCGAAGGUGGUGAAGAAGCAAGUUGCACUACAAGAUCAAAAUUGGGGAAGCUGGGGGAAGUUCACAUAGACCUAUUGCCUCUUGUGUGUCGUAAACUGUCCGGUCCCGGGCUGCUCACAUGUGCCUUCGAAUCCUGUGCAACGGCUCCCUCUGAUAAUGCAGCUGAGUGUUCACGCCUCAGCUUGGAGUGCUUGGAAGCCCCACCGUAUCGGUGCGUUAGAAGAAUGUAAAUCAGGGUCCGCUCGUCAGCGGCUUGGCCACACCGAGUGCAGAAUGCGUGGGAAUAAUAAGUGCUUACAGCCCAGGCAGGUAACUUUUGGGGCGAGUUGCUUGGACCUUCAUAGUCGAAGAAACCAUCAGCUGCCGCACAUGGGCACACGCAGUGUGGCUUCGCGUUCAAUAGCUUUAGAGAACAUGUUGAAUCGCACCCCACGGACCAUCUCUGCUUGUUGGAGAAGUUCUCAUUAGAGUAAUACAUCGCAGCAGCCAUGUACAUCUCGGCGAGAUGGCGAGGGGAGAAAGAAACAGGACACCUGCCACAUCCUGUGCAGAAAGUGUGCCUGUGGUGGAAGCUAAGAGCCCAAUACGUGUGUAGGUCUUUCCCUGUACACUCGCACCUGAUUCCCUUCUCGAUGUCGUCCAUCCUGGCCACCAGAAAUAACUUAGAAGGAUCUUUCAGCUCCUCGGGGAGGUCGCACAAAUCUCCACUCGAUGAUGAGUGAUGAAUUGCAGUGCGAUGCUGCCCAGGCUUGAGCGUCGUAGGUUGCGAAUACUGCCGAGAUCCUUGUGAGGACUGAGAGAACUGCGCACUGUGCAUGUGUUGAGAGGAAGUCGGAGAAUUCGGUUUUCGUGACUCGGGAACGUCGAUACCGUAGCACUCGAGCUCCCUUUUGAGCCUAAACAACUCACUCUCAGACAUUUUCGGCAGGGCCUCGAAGCUGCCGUAUCUGAGAAUAAGGACCAUGUUCUGGAAAGUGCCUUCGUCGCAAUCCAAAACAAUGGGGUCGGGAAUGCGUUGCUUCUCGAGCAAAGAGCCAAAGUAAGAAGAGUGCUUUAGCGUGUCCGCGGAGACGGUGAAGGACGCCCGGUUGCGUCCGACAUAGAAAGUUAGAUCUGAAGGCCGGGACAUGACCUCUCGGCGAUCCUUCGCACGAGAAGAGAGCUUGUCAGGCUGAAUACUGGUCUGGAUGAGGUGGGUGCGAGAGAGAUGCAAGUGAUCCAUCAUAGUAGGCGCCAUAACAUCUGCAGCUUCGUCAGAGGAAAAUAUUACGUCCUUUAAAGCAGAGCGAGGGGGCAUUCUCAGAAAAGGAGGGACCUGAUUCUCCGGCUGCUGGUCGUUCCGGACCAGCCGAGUCUCCAAAGAGGACGGCAAGAAGAAUUCCGACAGAUUCAUGAACGAUAACUCUCCCGGGCAACAGACUCCGAAAUCUCACACCUACUCGGUCAUGUCGAUACUAGAGACGCCACAGCCCAACGCUUUCUAAGUAACACUCACCUAACACCACAAAUCAUAUGUUUAAGGUAGCAACGCCAGGGAAAAACAGACAACAACUACUCUCAUCCAACGCUACUAAACAGAGACUCUUUCCAACAUAACGAACGUUUCCCACUGCGAAUCCCACGUCACAACUCUUCAACGCGCCAACCAUCAGAAAAUAAAGAAAUCCCCGUCUCACGCAAGGGCAAGACACCAGAAAUGGAUCUCGAGUGGAACUCUGGUGAAUCUAUAUCCUCGACGCGAAAUAGAUGGGAACCCGCUUGAUUCACCUCAGCAAAAACACAAAAAAUGUCACCUGUCAGGACGAAGAACUACAAAAAGGAGAAAAUGCAUGAGUGAACAUCCGACUCCCAAGUCACGUCUGCGGAGAGCUUGAGCACUCACUGCCACCACAAAGCCGUAAACUAUCUAUCCAAGGACAGAAAAAUGCCAGUAAUCUCUCACCCUCACCCACUUACUCAUCUCGAGUACAGUGUUCCAGGCAGCCCAGUGGGUGGGAGGGAGCUACCAUGACACAUUUCCCGCGCAAGGGCACGAGGGCAAAAGCCAUCACAAGCGCCGCUCACUGGUGGCAGGGGCUCACAAGCGUUACCUUCACGAAGCUGCACAAAAUCCCGACAUUGCCAUCCUGAAUUCCUCACCAGAAUUAUAUCGCUAGAAUAGCCCAUUGGCGAGAGCCCUAGUGGGACGGGCCCGCCAACCCACUACCUACGCAAUAACUGCGUCCUGCUAAUGAGGAUCCCUAUGAUAGCCAAGUACAACGUUGCAACACACCCCUCGAGCUGCAAUCCGGCACAGAUUCCGACACAUUUCGGUGUGACGUCUACCCUGAUGCGCCUCAGAUGCCAAGCAUCUACCCCCGUCCACACACACACCCCUCGAUUACCAACCCCCCCUCCCCCGUCACGGCACAAAUUCCGCUCCUUCACCAGUAACGAUCCGGUACACCAGAAGAGGAAUUCCAUUCGUUUCAAAGCCACGCGAUCACCAGUAAAUUCCCUCCCAGCACUGAAAGACCUCUCUCUCUCGCUCGCUCACUGACUCCCUCCAGGACCCAGGGAUACUUGCGAUAUGCAGCACCCGGAGAUUCUGGAAAUCCCUUCCGCAUUCUCUGGAACUUGCCUCUCGCUAGCUGCCAUAAAACAAUCACUCACACUCACGUCAAGUCGCAUAACUUCGAAGACCUAAUUCUGCAUCCUUCGAGUUUCCAUGGUGUUUAUCGUUACGCAUUCGUAAAUUGCAGCUGGUAAUGCUGAAAUCUGCUUAUUUCGAAACUCACUCACUCACCCACCCACCAGCGGCGUGAGCGUGGGGGCGCCGGCUUUAGAAA